AAUGAACGCUGGCGGCAGGCCUAACACAUGCAAGUCGAGCGGAUGGGCGGACGGGUGAGUAAUGCUUAGGAAUCUGCCUGGUCGCGGGGGCUAACGUCCGGAAACGGGAGCUAAUACUGCAUACUUUCAGUUGAGACUAGGUCGGAUUAGCUAGAUGGGGGGGUAAAGGCCUACCAAGGCGACGAUCCGUAGCUGGUCUGAGAGGAUGAUCAGUAACACUGGAACUGAGACACGGUCCAGACUCAUACGGGAGGCAGCAGUGGGGAAUAUUGGACAAUGGGCGAAAGCCUGAUCCAGCCAUGCCGCGUGUGUGAAGAAGGUCUUCGGAUUGUAAAGCACUUUAAGUUGGGAGGCGUUACCAACAGAAUAAGCACCGGCUAACUUCGUGCCAGCAGCCGCGGUAAUAC
rnacentral:rRNA from 1 species